UACGUAGGGUGCGAGCGUUAAUCGGAAUUACUGGGCGUAAAGCGUGCGCAGGCGGCUUUGCAAGACAGAUGUGAAAUCCCCGGGCUUAACCUGGGAACUGCAUUUGUGACUGCAUGGCUGGAGUGCGGCAGAGGGGGAUGGAAUUCCGCGUGUAGCAGUGAAAUGCGUAGAUAUGCGGAGGAACACCGAUGGCGAAGGCAAUCCCCUGGGCCUGCACUGACGCUCAUGCACGAAAGCGUGGGGAGCAAACGGG
rnacentral:rRNA from 1 species